GUUCAGAACGUCGUGAGACAGUUCGGUCCCUAUCCGUCGUGGGCGUAGGAAAUUUGAGAGGAGCUGUCCUUAGUACGAGAGGACCGGGAUGGACAUACCUCUGGUGUACCAGUUGUCGUGCCAACGGCAUAGCUGGGUAGCUAUGUGUGGACGGGAUAAGUGCUGAAAGCAUCUAAGCAUGAAGCCCCCCUCAAGCUGAGAUUUCCCAACUUCGGUUAUAAGAUCCCUCAAAGAUGAUGAGGUUAAUAGGUUCGAGGUGGAAGCAUGGUGACAUGUGGAGCUGACGAAUACUAAUCGAUCGAAGACUUAAUCAAAA
rnacentral:rRNA from 1 species